rnacentral:lncRNA from 1 species
GCUGUCUGUCCUGGACCUGGUUAUUUCUCCGGUGGGAGAGCUGCCCUCCUUUGUGACUUUAUAGAUAUGAAGCAGAAAUCCCAGGUCUGGUAUUCAUAUCAAUCUUUCUGAGGAACGGAUUGGCCGUCUUUUAUCCUGCCCUUCCACCCCUGCACAGGGACUCUAAGAAGGCCACAAUUACUGCACCUCCCUCCAUUUGGCUGUCAGCCUUCCCACCUGGAAGCAGACGACACUUCCUGUCCUGACCAGGCUGGCCUCCAGUGUGCUUUGAGCAACAGAAUGAUGUUGAAAGUGCAACUUACAAGAGAUGACGUUCCGGUACUCCUGGGGCCACACAUGGAGUGCACUGCCACUUUUUCUCUCACAGGAAAGAAAUCCAACCACACAGAGAUCGCCAAGCUACGCCAAAGCCCAAAUUAUCCACACAGAAGCUCCAUGAAGAAGACAGUGAGGCCCAGAGAAUUGGCUAAAGGCACGAAAUAUUCAAGUAAAGAAGGUUUUUGUUUUGCUUUGUUUUGUUUUGAGUGUUCAAACCCCAAAUUACGCUCUAUAACCAGAACCACCCAGCUGCACUCAGCUCAGACUGUAGAAUUAUGGGAAAUGAUAAAAUGGAGCCUCACACCCACAUCCCAGACCGGAAGAAACAACAAGUGUCAGCAUCCCUUCAUCUCACCAACCAGAGCUAUGCCACAAGGACACCCACAGCUAAGGACAGCAAACACCUUGGAGAAUCUCAACUUUGACCCGGAAGUACUCACUACCUGGAACUGUCUGCCUGAGGGUACCAGGGAGAAAACAUGGGUUGUGACUAGUGUUCUCCUCAUUCUCCACCUAUAAAAAGGGGUUAGAACUUACCUUGAUGACUUGUUGAAUUUCAGAGAGACUAUGGGCAAACAUCAUAGUACCCAAGGCAUAACGGCACUCAGGAAAAGCCGUUAUAUCUUGAAUUUCCAGAAGUGGCCGUUAGCAGGGAGUUUUCCUGAAGGUGCUAAAAAUGUAUAAUAGAGACAUGGUUUGGACUCUUCAGUUCUUUUACAUUGAAUUCACUUCUUGGUUAAUAAAUCUUUUCUUGAUAGUCUAUUCA